rnacentral:rRNA from 1 species
UACGUAGGUGGCAAGCGUUGUCCGGAUUUACUGGGCGUAAAGAGCGCGCAGGCGGUCGUUCAAGUCGAGUGUGAAAGCCCCCGGCUCAACUGGGGAGGGUCACUCGAUACUGAUCGACUCGAAGGCAGAAGAGGGAAGCGGAAUUCCCGGUGUAGUGGUGAAAUGCGUAGAUAUCGGGAGGAACACCAGUGGCGAAGGCGGCUGCCUGGGGCUUUGCUGACGCUGAUGCGCGAAAGCGUGGGGAGCGAUCCGG